AUUUGGAGUUGUUCUGGCUAAUGUCAAAGACCACACACAAGGACAUGGACGUCAACGGUUCAUUCACAUGAGAUGACAGUUACCCAGGAUGAACCAACUGCAAAAAGCUGUCUGUGGAUGGUAACUGCAGGUGACCUGAAUGCAUGUGCCUCCUCCUUCUUUUUCCGCUUUUUGUCUUUUCCUUAAGCCUCUCUGAACAGUAUCUUCAGAAGUGUCUGUUUCCCACAGAGCAUGGUGUGUCCAAGAAAUACCCCACAUUCCCAUUGCCUUUGCUAUUUAAUGCUGUAGUUGGGAGAGGCAGUCUUGCUUUCUGCUUGCCUGUCUUUUUGGAGCACAUAUGAACUACAAAUAGAUACAGCCCACAUUUUGCCUCAAAGAUAUAUUCUUUGUUUUCUCCAAGUUGCCAAGUUGAACUCUAAGCUGAUGUUUAAUUUAUCUGUGGUAAUGAGGAACGGGGAUAGCCUUGCAUAAUUGGAAUCUGAAGAUAAGCCAAAAGCUUCUUUUAGCCAAAAUUCCUACAUCCUUUCCCACCAACUCUUUAUGCCUGUGUUGCUAACAAAUGGCAAAUUGACUAAUCUGAGUUUCACCAGUUCUUUGUGUGGUGUAUCUGACCUUUCACAAUGGGUUCAUACCAGAGUCCACUUCCAUGGUCCUUCAAGAUGUGGGUGUCUGGUUCUCAGGUAACCAACCAAAACCUUUGUACCUACCACUCAUGUAUAUUUCAGUUGAAGUUAGAAAAGCACCCCCUCAGUCUAUAGCUAACCUCUGGUGAAAUUGAGGAAUGAAUGAAUUGCUAAGCCAUCUAUAAAUAGAAUUCCGGGACAAUUCAUCUGAUGUGAGAGACAACCCUUUGAUAGGUUUCUGAGAAGAUGUGUGAAGCCACUACUCUCAAUUGUUCUUUCAUUUACUUUUUGCUAAUCAAAGCCCCAGACAUAUUCCAAAAUGUGAGAUGUUUUGGAAGAUUAACCAAAACACAAGCUGAAAUUUACCAGGGGCUCUGUAUAAAGUUAUACCCUUAGGCUUUUAUUCUCAAAGCCCUCCCAAGUACAGAAGUGUAGCAUGGGAUGAUGUGACAUAGAAUCGCAGAGUGGGAGGAGCCCACCAUACUUCAAUUCAGUGUAUCCAGAAGGAAAACUAAGGUUCACAGACUUGCUUAGGGGCUUAGUCAAGGGACUAUUUGUUCAGAACCAACAUUCAUACAAAGAGUCUUAAAUUUAAAAGGGGAUUUAUUUCAGAGAAACCUCAUGGAAACCAGUUGAAAGAGGGUUAGUGGGGACUUUCGGGAAGUGAAAAGUCGCUGGUUAAUUUCUCUGUUUCUAUCUCUGUGGGGCCUUGCAGAUUCUUUUCUUUGCUUCCGGGAGCCUUCUUCAUAUCUGCAGUGGAUAUGAGGUGAUAUGGUUUGGCUCUGUUCCCCACCCAAAUCUCAUCUCGAAUUGUAAUCCUACGAUCGCCACGUGUCAAGGGCAGAAACUGGUAGGAGGUGAUUGGAUCGUGGGGGCAGUGUGCUGUUCUCGUGAUAGUGAGUGAGUUCUCACGAGAUCUGAUGAUUUUAUAAAGGGCUCUUCCCCUUUCGCCAUUCACUCUGUCCUGCUGCCUUGUGAAGAAGGUGUCUGCUUCCUCUUCACCUUCUGCCAUGAUUGUCAGUUUCCUGAGGCCUUCCCAGCCAUGCUGAACUGUGAGUCAAUGAAACCUCUUUCCUUUAUAAAUUACCCAGUCUCGGGUAUUUCUUUAGAGCAGUGUGAGAAUGGACUAACACGAGGCUUCGCUGGUCUCUCAUGACCAACCCAAAAGGCAAGGUCAGCUUCCAUGUCUCAAUGGCCUUCCAGUGAGGCCCCUCACAGCUAACUGACCAGGGCAGGGGUCUCCUUGGUCCAGCUGAGAUCAGGGCCUGGCUCCGGCCCAUGCCUGUGGUAAGAGUGGGACUAUCCCUUGUGGAGCUGACAAGGGCUGACUCUCUGUAAGGGUGGCUAAGGCACUACUGGCCACUCUGGUGCCCCAGGAUGGCACAGGCAGGUCAGAACCUGGCUGUCACUCCAGGCCAGCCUUCUGCCACUGACUGGAAAGGUGGGCUCAAACACAACUGCAGUUAAAAGAGAGGAAUUGCCCCGGAGGUGAAUGCAGUCACCUGCAUAGGGGAAAAGGAGGUGAGAGGCCUGCUCUACUCCCCCUGAUCAGAUGCCAUCCAAGGGCACAUGGCUGACAUGUUUGAAGAAAAACCCAGAGUCAACUCAGAGCCCAACUCAGGCCUGAUAAAAAGUGACUAUGAUGAUGAAGAGAUUCAAAAUUAUGCUGCAGAAGGAAUGGCUGGAGGGUCUAGGCGUAUUUCACCUGGAAAGAGGAAGCUUUAAAGGAGAUGCAGCUUGCAGUCUAUCUGAGAAAACAAGACAUACCCUCAAGCAGAUAAUUGCCAUUUACAGUCAUUCCUAUGAUCUCAGCACUAUGUGGGUUUAAUCAGCCUUCUGCUAAAAGGAACCAGGUCCAAGACAUUCAGCAUGGCAUGGUAGCUAAGCAAGAUCCAGUGUCUUCAUUCAGCACUGACAGAGUCACUGUCUCUGAGCAGUACUUAGCUACAGAAACUUUGAAGCCUUCUGCAAUUUAUUAUGCUGAGUGCAUCUAAUCAACAUGUAGAAUAAAGAUGGAGCUCCAGAGAAGUUAGCACGCAAUCUGGGUGACAGGUGCUGAGCAAGGACAGCCUCUUCCCAAUACUCUCCAAGCGGCCUGCUGUUUCCAGGGAAUGAUAUUAUCAUUCUUGGCAUCUAGAACAGGACUCAAUGUAAGAUUGUCUAAGGCAGUCACUGGCUACAGUUCAUGGAAGCUUCAGGACGGCACUUGGCAUGAGCUCUCAGUGCUAUGGAAAAAAGAAGCUCUUAGGUGGAAUAUUUCUAGCUAAAAAAUGUAUAGUUUUUUUUGUUGUUGUUUCUGUUCCUUUCAUUUUUAUUUUUAGAAAUAGGAUUUCAAAGGGCAUUUGUCCUGGUCCCUCAGGAAAGAACAUUUUCUAAAGUGUUCCCAUCAACAAUGCCUCAGGUGUUACAGGUCCCUACUCUUGGCCAUCCAGCUCUGCCACCGUGCCUGGAUUCUGCAUUUUCAAAGGGACCAGCUUACCAGCAGCAUCCUCUUCCUGCUGCCUCUUGACUCACACAGAUCCCAUCAAUAAGCAUUCACUGAGGCCUGCUCUAAGUGAGGCUCUGGGGAGAGUGCUGUGGGAGCUUCAAGAGCAAUAGCAGCCCUGAGCUCCAGGAGCUUCCCCUCUGAGGUGGGGAAUUGCGAUGCAUGGAACAUCUCCAACACACAAAGCAGACUCUUGCUAGGCUUCGAACUGGAAUUGCAUUGAUCGUAUUAACUUGGGGGAGAUCUGAUAUAUUUAAAAGAAAAAAAUAAGCCGGGCAUGGCGGCUCACGUCUGUAAUCCCAGCACUUGGGGAGACUGAGGUAGGUGGAUCAUUUGAGGUCAGGAGUUUGAGACCAGCCUGGCCAACAUGGUGAGACCCCGUCUCUACUAAAAAUACAAAAAUUAGCCGGGCGUGGUGGGUGCCUGUAAGCCCAGCUACGUGGGAGGCUGAGGCAGGAGAAUCGCUUGAACUUGAGAGAUGGAGGCUGCAGUGAGCUGAGAUCAUGCCACUGCACUUCAGCCUGGGUGACAGAGUGAGACUCUGUCUCAAAAAAGAAAAAAAAAAAAAAAGAAAAAAAUAUAGGCGAUGGAACAGAAAAGUGGGCAGUGGCUAUGAAGAUGCAAUCCAAAUAUAAGGUAAUACUUAUCACCAAAGAAAUAGCAAUUAAGACAACAGUGAGACAGCAUCUUGUGUCUGUCAGAUUGGAGGAAAAAUACUAAAUUGAAUAAUGUGAAUUGUUGUUGAGGAUUGUGGAACUAGCCUUCCAUGAAACGUUUCUAGAAGUCUAAAUGAGUGUAGACACUCCAGAGAGCAAUCUGGCGGUAUUUAGCAAUCCCAUACCUGGGCAUAUAACUUGGACAAACUCUGAUUAUAACAGACUAGGCCCAAGGAUAUGUUUAUUGCAGUAUUAUUGGUGGUAGUGAUGAGUUGGAGGCAAUAUAAGUUUCUACCACAAGGAGGGUUGAUAUGAGCGUUUGAUGAAUAGUAUGCAGUAGUCAGAAUAAUAAAACAGAUGUACACUCAGCAUGGAGAAAUCUGAAUAAGAUACUGUUGGCUGAUGACAGUAAGACAUGGAUUGAGAUAUAUAGUAGAGUGUCAUUUAUAUAAAUUCAAAACACGUGCACAAGAUGAUCAUGUCUCUAGUAGCUACAAAAGUGCUUGAUACAGAGUAGGCCUUCAGUAAAUUGUUUUACUUGUUGUCAAUAAAAAUAUAUAUACUAAAUAAAUAUCUAACAUUUAUGUAAGUUAAGAAUACAUAGACAUAUACAUAUUUUAAGGGUAUAUACAAAUGCGAAACAUAAUUUAAGGGUACGGCUCUUCUGGAUAGUCCAGCGUUCAAAUGGAGUUCUCUGGAGUGAAGUAAAAUUAAUUCACAAACCUCUGUUGCAUCCAAGGUCAAAUACUCUCACGAACACCCACUCUCUGUUCCCUGGUUUAAUACUCACUGAGUAACAUUCUGAAGCCUGAGACUUUUAUACAUACCCAGUUUCCAGAAAAGGCACAAAGAAGCUUUCCCCAAAAGAAAAUACAUGAAUAUUCCAUUUAUUUAAAAACAUCCGAGCAGGUCUAAGCAAUAUAAAUUAAUAUAGCAGCAUCAGUGUCUUGUGAGUUAAGACGAGUGUCCUAAGAUUUAGUUGCUUAACUGAUUCCUCUAUGUCCCUAAAUCAAAUGAUGAAAUACAGAUUUAGGUUCCAUUUUUUUGAAAGAAUACUUCAUAGGUCAUUCUGUCUACUUCCUACUGCACCACAUUUAGGAGGGAGGCACAUCAUGUGUGGUUGUCUCUUUAGUAAUUCUGAGAUUGGUCAAGGGGUCCAGGUGGUGUCUGACCUUAUUCCAUCAUUACAAAAGAAGUCACCAUCUACUUUUUACCUAGUGGUUUCAGUAUCUUUGGAUAAUCACUGCCCGGAUUUAUCAAGGUUUGCAAAAUGAUUUUCUAAUUCUGUGGUUCCUUCUAUACACAUUAGCUGGGAUUCUUCAAAAUGUAACUUACAAAACAAACAAAAUCACUAUCAAGACUUGACAUUCCUUCUUCCAUAUCAAUUUUCAGAAUAGUGAUAAAAGUUACCAGUAAUGAUUUCUAGUGGAGACCAAUAUGUUUUUCUCAUCAUUAUAUACUUUUUUUUUUUUUUGAGACAGAGUCUUGCUCUGUCACCAGGCUAGAGUGCAGUGGUGUGAUCUCUGCUCACUGCAACUUCCGCAUCCUGGGUUCAAGCAAUUCUCCUGCCUCAGCCUCCCAAGUAGCUGGGACUACAGGUGCACACCACCACGCCCAGCUGAUUUUUGUAGUUUUAGUAGAGACAGGGUUUCACCAUAUUGGCCAGGAUGGUCUCGAUCUCUUGACCUCGUGACCUGCCCACCUCAGCCUCCCAAAGUGCUGGGAUUACAGGCAUGAGCCACUGCGCCCAGCCCAUAAAUUUUUAUAUAUUUGAUGAGGUUGAAUUAAUUGCCAUCAUUAUUCUCUUUUCUCUCUCUCUUUAGGAUCCUUAAACAGCUUAUAUUCAAUAAACUGCAUAUGUUUAAAUGGCACACUUUGUAAAGUUUGGUGAUACUGUACAGUCACAAAAGCAUAAUCAAUGUAGCAAACAUAUCUAUUGUAAUCUAAAAUGUCCUUGUGCCUUUUUUAACCUCCUGCUCCUCCUCCAUACUAUAUCCCCAGGCGACCUCUGAUUUACUUUAUGUUGGAAUUUUUGAGAAAUUCAUACAAAUGGCAUUAUUUAGUAUGUACUCUUUGUGUCUGACUGCUUUUACUCAGCAUAAUUAUUUUGAGAUUCAACAUGUUGUCUGUAUCAAUACCUUUAAUUGUCAAGUGGUAUGCUAUUGUAUGACUAUGUCACAAUUGUUUAGCCAUCGAUGAACAUUUGGGUCGUUUCCAGUUUGGGGUUACUACAAAUAAAGCUGCUAAGAACAUUUUUAUAUAAAUCUUUGUGCAGACAUAGAUUUUAUUUCUAUGGGAUAAAUACCUACUAGUGGAAAGGCUACAUCAGAUAGUAGGGUAUAUACUUAACUUUUCAAAAAAAACUGCAAAUGUGCUUUCCAUAGAAGUGCUAUUGCACAUUUCUCCUGAGCAUGAGAAUUUCAAUUCUUCCCCAUUCUCUCCAAUAUUUAGUAUGGUCAGACCUUAUAAUUUUAUCCAUUUUAAUAGGAGUAUAUUAUGGUUUGAAUGUGUCCCCUCCAAAAUUCAGGUGUUGACAUUUAAUGGCCAAUGUGAUAGUAUCAAGAGAUAGGACCUUUAAGAGGUGGUUAGGUCCUGAGGACUCCUCACUCAUGAAUGGGAUUAAGAGAUUUCGUGCAGCUUUUGACUCCCUUGCCCUUUCACCUUUCACCAUGUGAGGACACAGUGUUCCUCCCCUCCAGAGGACGCCACAACUGGGCGCCAUCUGGGAAGCAGAGGGCAGUCCUCAAUAGACAAAGGAACCUGCCAGCAUCUUGAUCUGGGACCUUGCAGCCUCCAGAAACUAUGAGAAAUACAUUUUUGUUCUUUGAUAAAUUACCCAGUCUUCUGUAUUUUGUUAUGGCAGCACAAAAAGAACUGUGACACUGUGUACAUGUACUUAAUCGUGGUUUUACAGCAGUCUCCCUUUCUCUGCUGUUUCACUUUUUUGUUGUUUGUUUGUUUUGAGAUGGAGUCUCGUUCUUGUCGCCCAGUCUGGAGUGCAAUGGCGUGAUCUCGGCUCACCGCAACCUGUCCUCCUGGGUUCAAGCAAUUCUUCUGCCUCAGCCUCCGAAGUAGCUAGGCUUACAGACACGUGCCACCACACCCUGCCAAUUUUUGUAUUUUUAGUAGACAGGCUGUUAGGCAGGCUGGUCUUGAACUCCUAACCUCAGGUGAUCCGCCCACCUUGGCCUCCCAAAGUGCUGGGAUUACAGGCAUGAGCCACCGCACCCAGCAUGCUGAUUCACUUUCUGCAGUUUCAGUUACCCACAGUCAACCAUGGGCCAGAACAUAGGAUCUGUGUCAGUCCUGGAUUGGUCAUUAAGUGUCAUUUCUUACUAAGAAGACCAGGCUUCCUUGGAAAAAUGAAUAAUUACAGAUUUGGGACAAGAAAUGUCCAAGAAGAUCCUGGGGCAUCUUUCAGUGUCAGAAAAAAGGAAGUCAUCAAAGACCUCUUGCUCCUGAGUUUUCAUUUUUGCCAGGCCUUUUCUCUUAAGAGAUAAAACUCUCUCUUAAGAGAGAGUUCAUGCUAAUAUUUCCAAUUCAAGUUUAACAUUAUAAGGCCUCUGUUUGAAUUCUUUGAUUUUAUACUCAUACCUCUUUUCCUGUGCUGUUUAAAUAGAUAUGCAUAUAAGAAUAUGUGAAGUGAAAUGGCAUGAUGUCUAGGAUUCAAUGUAAAAACUUCAGCAAAGAUAAAAAUACAAACAAUAAAGAUAAAAUGUUGCAAGAUUUUGGUAAUGAAUCUAGGUGACAGGUAUUUGGAGGUGUCAUAUAGUAUUCUAUGUGAGUGCUUGAAAUUUUUUAAUUUAAUUUUUUAAAAAGAGAGAUAGAGAUUGAGAGAGGCAGAUCCUCUUGCCUAAUAAGAUUGGCAACUUCAUACUUUCUCACUCCCCUUUCCCCACCCAGGCUGUUGCAACAUUGGCUUGUGCUUACAUUUUGGUGUUCAGAUCCAUCUUCAUUUUUUUCCCUAGGGAUAUUUCUUACUUUCUUGGAAUUCAAAUAAUGAAUUUAAAAGAAUAUUACAGGUUUUUAACAUUUCUAGAUGUUUUGUAGUAGGAAAGAUUUUAGGUAAUCUAAUCCACGCUAUUUCGGGAAAUGGAGGUUUUUAGCUGUACUUUUAAAAUAGAUUUAAUUGUUUCUUAAUAUACAAGAUGCAAUCUAUAAAGUGGCCAUCUCAUCUUACAAAUACAUAUUAUUGGUGCCCAAAAAGUAUAAAUGAAUGAAAGUAAUCCUUAUCCUCACUCUUAGAAACAAUAUAAUUCAAAGUGUGUUUCCUACCUUCCAGGUAUUGUUAUAAUAAUUUAUGUAUAUAGAGGCUAACAUAGUAAUGUUUUCAAUGGGUGGGAGCAUUACAAAGCUUUUUGUUUGAAUUUUGCCUACAGAGCAGUGGGUGUACAGCACUUAGCCAAGUAAUGAAAAACAUCAUUUUAAACUGCACAGAGGCCAACAGGUUACAAAGCAUUAUCUCAUUUAAUCUUCACAGUGACCUUACAGCACAGCAGGUAUUGUCAUUCUACAUUCACAGAUGGAGAGACUGAAGCCCAGGAGGUGAAGCAAUACAGCAUGACUCACACUAAAUGCCAGUGCCAGGACUUGAGCCUCAAGGUUACGCCACCCCACAGCAUUUGUCCUCCAAAAGGCCAGGCUAUCUUCUCACAAUGGCUGUCAGUGUGUUCAUUUUCAAAACCUAAACUAGCUAAGUCUUAACAGAUGAAAACAAAAAAAAAAAUUAACUGAGAAGAAAGGCACCCACAGCUUCAAAAUCCAAAGAAGAAAGUAGACCCUUUUGUUUUAGAUCAAGGGAAACCAAAAAACAAAAGCGGUGAGACAGAAUAAUCCCUGAAGGAAAACAGUGACCUUCUCCAGGUUUAGGAAGAUGGUCAAACCCGCAUGCCCCUCCAUGCUUCUAGGAAAACGUACUACACAUAUUCUUCAGGCAGAUGCGAACGCUCCGAAGGGGCGCCCCUCUGCAGCUGGCUGACCAGCCCUCCUCUGCUCUGUCGUUUUCAUCCAAACAUUUAGAUCUGUGGCCGGGUAGAUAUUAGUGGCUGGGUCAAAAAGACAGUUCUGGUGUGAAAUAUUUAUACUUAAUUGGCCUCUGUGUCUGUCUGUGUAGUUUUGCCAAGCAUUUUAAUAGUUUUCCUUGAGUAUUCUUUAUUCUUUUUUGGAAAGAAUGCUAUUCAGGGUAAGAAUGGGGGGGGGAGUAGGGGACACAGCACAAAAGGUUGUCUCCUCUGAAGGCUUUGGGCACUCUUCCCAAAACAGAUGCAGAAGGCAACACUGGCCUCUGCCUUGAAAAUAAUGUGGGAUAUUUAUCUUGAAGUUCACCAUUGUUAUUCUUUGCUUCUUAGCCUUUCUGAUUUGAAUUCCAGUUUAGUCUUGAUUUUGUAGAAUAAUCAAAGUAAUGAAUUGGAGGAAAAUUAUAAUUUCUAGUAUACAAUAGGAUGAGAUAGAGUGUAACUUUUCAUUUGCAAUUUAAUUUUUAUUGUAUCUUAUUUAUUUACUUAUUUAUUUGUAGAGACGGUCUUGCUCUGUUGCCCAGGCUGGGGUGCAAGUGGCACAAUCAUAGCUCACUGCACCCUUGACCUCCUGGGCUCAAUCAAUCCCCCUGCCUCAACCUCCUGAGUAGCCAGGACUGGAGGCUCAUACUACCAUGCCCAGCAAAGACAGGGUCUUGCUCUGUUGCCCAAGGUGGUCUCAAACUCCUGGCCUCAAACAGUCCUCCUACCUUGGCCUCUCAGAGUGUUGGGAUUACAGGCGUGAACCACUGCACUUGGUCUGCAAUUUAACUUUUAAAUAAGGCAUUUAUUUGAAUAAUUC
rnacentral:lncRNA from 10 species